GGACUACCGGGGUAUCUAAUCCCGUUCGCUCCCCUAGCUUUCGCGCCUCAGCGUCAGAAGAGGUCCAGCACGUCGCUUUCGCCACCGGCGUUCCUUCCGAUAUCUACGCAUUUCACCGCUCCACCGGAAGUUCCACAUGCCCCUACCUCCCUCGAGAUCAUCAGUAUCAAAGGCACUUCUCCAGUUGAGCUGGAGGCUUUCACCCCUGACUUGACAACCCGCCUACGCGCCCUUUAAGCCCAGUGAAUCCGAACAACGUUCGCACGGUUCGUCUUACCGCGGCUGCUGGCAC
rnacentral:rRNA from 1 species